GUGGGGAAUCUUCCGCAAUGGACGAAAGUCUGACGGAGCGACGCCGCGUGAGUGAAGAAGGCCUUCGGGUCGUAAAGCUCUGUCAUCAGGGACGAACGGCCGGUGGAGUGGAAGGCCACCGGAUUGACGGUACCUGAGAAGGAAGCCACGGCUAACUACGUGCCAGCAGCCGCGGUAAUACGUAGGUGGCAAGCGUUGUCCGGAAUUAUUGGGCGUAAAGCGCGCGCAGGUGGGAUCUUAAGUCCAUUUUUAAAGUUCGGAGCUCAACUCCGUGAUGGGAUGGAAACUGGGAUUCUUGAGUACCGGAGAGGAAAGCGGAAUUCCCCGUGUAGCGGUGAAAUGCGUAGAUAUGGGGAGGAACACCAGUGGCGAAGGCGGCUUUCUGGACGGUGUCUGACACUGAGGCGCGAAAGCCAGGGGAGCGAACGGGAUUAGAAACCCGAGUAGUCC
rnacentral:rRNA from 1 species